CCCGCCGUCGGAACCAACAAAACCCCCUUUUGCAUCUAGCAUNCCCCCCGUUCCGAUACAAAACACAAUCGUUACAACUUUCAACAAUGGAUCUCUUGGCUCUGGCAUCGAUGAAGAACGCAGCGAAAUGCGAUAAGUAGUGUGAAUUGCAGAAUUCAGUGAAUCAUCGAAUCUUUGAACGCACAUUGCGCCCCUUGGUAUUCCAUGGGGCAUGCCUGUUCGAGCGUCAUCUACACCCUCAAGCUCUGCUUGGUGUUGGGCGUCUGUCCCCGCCUCCGCGCGCGGACUCGCCCCAAAUCCAUUGGCAAGCGUCCCCUCGCCCCCCUCUCGCGCAGCACGAAUGCGCAUGACGAGGGAGCGGCUUUUGGGAUCGCGACCCNCCCCCAAGAUGACCACCGUCUUUGACCUCNGAUCANGUAGGGAUACCCGGUGAACUUAAGCAUAUCAAUUAANCGGAA
rnacentral:rRNA from 1 species